UCUUAUCAGGUUUAAAAGGAGGGGUAAU
rnacentral:piRNA from 1 species